rnacentral:misc_RNA from 1 species
UCACGAGCAUCAACUGGUUCCUUAAAUGGCCAAGCAUCAACAUGGUCAUGCAUUGACUGUUAAAAUGCAAAAAGAACAAAUAAAUUUUUGCAUGAAAUUGUGAUAAAACAAUAAAAAAGUGUAAGCCCAAUCAAUGGAAAAACCAAGAGGAUUAAAAUAUGAAAAUAUAUUUAUAUAAUAACACAACCUACAAGAGGUACUUUGCUUAAUUGGUUACUGAAUUUCAAGCUAAUUCUAGGUCAACUACUAAAGAUUAACUUGUUCCAAUAAUCCAAUUUCAUCACCAUACUUUCUUUUUCUUUUUAUAUGCAAUUUAGCAUUGUUGGCAUCAUGAUCACUCAGUGAAUUAUAUCACCAUUUUCCAAUAUCAAUUGCCAUUUAUACAUAUUUUAUUUUCUAUUUGAGUGUUAUUAAUAAUGUGUUAUAUUCAAUUGUCUAUGAUUUUGACUUAAAUGAUAGGAACAAUUCCAAUGAAAUUUCUUGAAUUUGCAGUGAGAUAAUUCAUCAGAAUGUUUGCAAUUCUGUCAGUGAUAAGUAAAUAGUAAAUUAAAUGGAAAUUCAAGGGUAAAACUGGAAUAAAAUGAUCUUUAGCGACUUAAUUUCAAUUAAGAACAAAUUUCAGUUGCAAACAGUAAAUUUGUGCAUACAAAAAGUGACAUACUGCUCAACCCAUUGGAUACCUUAUAUCAUAGACAAUAUUCUAUCCAAACUGUGAUAUAUCCAUCAAGCAAUCAACAGAAGUAAAUCUUAUUUUUUAGAUGGUAAGAGUUGAUAAACAUGAAAGUAAACCUGGCAAAGUAAUCUAAUCUAAACUGAUUUAAACUUCAAAUUGAGUUAAGCUUUGCAAUUAACUCAGUGUUAUCAAGGCGAAAGGCG